rnacentral:lncRNA from 1 species
GCUGCAACGUGUUCUGAGCAGUUCUCGGGUAGGAGUGUGCUGAUUGAGCCUUCCGAGAAUGGCCUGCCGCCCGGGCUGCUGGCUUCGCCUGCUUUGGUUCGGGUCGUACGAGGCACUGCUUACAUCCCGAUUGUAAAUGUUGGCACCACUAGUGUUUUGUUGUAUCCUCGCACCAUUGCAGGCACUUUAGACGAAGGGUGUAUUGUCAGCAUGCCUGCAGGUGUCAUCGAGGUGCCGACUAGUGUCGCUACCAGCGCUUCUCAGGCUGUUUCGGAUGUCACUCCUGAUCUGGUUGAGGCCAUUGAUUUAUCAGCCCUGCCAGUCGAAGAUCAGGGGAAGGUGCAAUCUCUCCUUCGACAAUACGCUUCUGUCUUUUCCUCUGAUGAGGGGGAUCUGGGAUGUACGAGCCUGAUCAGCCACGACAUUCCCCUCUUGGACGAUGUUCGUGUUAGGCAGCGUCAUAGGAGGAUCCCACCAUCUGAGUAUGAGGUUGUCAAGAAGCAUAUCAAUCAGCUGCUUGAAGCUCAGAUUAUCAGGGAGAGCAGCAGUCCUUAUGGUUCUCCGAUUGUACUGGUUAAGAAAAAAGAUGGGAGCCUCCGCAUGUGUGUGGACUAUCGGCAGCUUAAUAAUAAGACAAGGAAGGACGCGUUUCCUCUUCCUCGUAUCGAGGAAUCCUUGGACGCCUUGACCGGGGCUCGGUGGUUUUCGACCCUUGACUUGGCCAGCGGUUACAAUCAGGUUCCCGUUACAGAGGCCGAUAGGCCCAAGACCGCUUUCUGUACACCAUUUGGCCUUUUUGAAUGGAAUCGGAUGCCAUUUGGCCUUUGUAAUGCCCCCAGCACCUUCCAGAGGCUUAUUCAGCGACUGUUUGGUGACCAACAAUGUCAGUGCCUGCUUCUCUAUUUGGAUGACAUCGUGGUGUUUUCAUCCAUGGUAGAACAACACCUGGAGAGGCUAAAGGUGAUGUUGGGGAGGCUGCAGGAGCAAGGUCUGAAGGCCAGGCUUGAGAAAUAUG